UGCUUAGGACCUAAACUGCCCCUUCCUCGAGGGUCUGUAUAUCACAGAGCCAAAGACAAUUCAGGAACUGCUGUGCAGCCCCUCAGAGUACCGCUUGGAGAUCCUAGAGUGGAUGUGUACCCGGGUCUGGCCCUCACUGCAGGACAGGUUCAGCUCACUGAAAGGGGUCCCAACAGAGGUGAAGAUCCAAGAAAUGACGAAGCUGGGCCACGAGCUGAUGCUGUGUGCGCCAGAUGACCAGGAGCUCCUCAAGGGCUGUGCCUGCGCCCAGAAGCAGCUACACUUCAUGGACCAGUUGCUCGAUACCAUCCGGAGCCUGACCAUUGGGUGCUCCAGUUGCUCGAGCCUGAUGGAGCACUUCGAGGACACCAGGGAGAGUGCUGCCAAGUUGCACGCGCUUAGAACGGAGUACUUUGCACAGCAUGAGCAAGGGGC
rnacentral:lncRNA from 1 species